UGAGUAACGCGUGAGGAACCUGCCUCAAAGAGGGGGACAACAGUUGGAAACGACUGCUAAUACUGCAUAAGCCCACGGCUCGGCAUCGAGCAGAGAGAAAAGGAGCAAUCCGCUUUGAGAUGGCCUCGCGUCCGAUUAGCUAAUUGGUGAGGUAACGGCCCACCAAGGCGACGAUCGGUAGCCGGACUGAGAGGUUGAACGGCCACAUUGGGACUGAGACACGGCCCAGACUCCUACGGGAGGCAGCAUG
rnacentral:rRNA from 1 species